rnacentral:rRNA from 1 species
CCUACGUGUGGCAGCAGUGGGGAAUAUUACGCAAUGGACGAAAGUCUGACGCAGCGACGCCGCGUGAGGGAUGAAGGUUUUCGGAUCGUACACCUCUGUCAGGAGGGAAGAAAGCGCAUGGCGCCAAUCAGCCAUGCGUUGACGGUACCUCCAAAGGAAGCGCCGGCUAACUCCGUGCCAGCAGCCGCGGGAAUACGGAGGGCGCGAGCGUUAAUCGGAAUUACUGGGCGUAAAGCGCGCGUAGGCUGUUGUGUAAGUUGGGGGUGAAUUCCCACGGCUCAACCGUGGAAUAGCCCGUGAUACUGCGCGACUUGAAUCCGAGAGAGGGUGGCGGGAUUCCAGGGGGAGGAGUGAAAGCCGUAGAUAUCUGGAGGAACAUCAGUGGCGAAGGCGGCCACCUGGACCGGUAUUGACGCGGAGGCGCGAAAGCGUGGGGAGCAAACAGGAUUAGAUACCCCUGUAGUC